rnacentral:lncRNA from 10 species
GUGCUGGGAUUACAGAUAUGAGCCACUGAGCCCAGCCAAGGCCACAGUAUCUUAAUCUCUAGCCAUUUGCUUUAACACCUACAUGAAUGUCAAGCAACUGGUAAUGUGGUCUUAACCCUAAGCAGAUGGACCAAACCCUGAAAAAUGGAGAAGCAACAAAUAAAAGUGUCAUGCAAUUAUUGACCAUGGAAUAAAUAUACAGAAGACCAAGAGAAAUUCAGAAAUCAUAAAGCAUCGAUAUUGCACUCCAGCCUGGGCAACAAGAAUGAAACAUCAUCUCAAAAAAACAAAAGUUUACUCUUUUAUCUCAAAAGUUUAUUGUACGAUGUAAAUCUUCAGCUUUGGCAAAAUACUAUUUUAAACACUCAACCAUUCUG